CGAACAACAUUCGGACCGUCGGUCUACCGAGCAAUAUCACCCGCUCGGUGGAAUAACUUUCCUUUGUCAUAUACC
rnacentral:pre_miRNA from 1 species